rnacentral:rRNA from 1 species
AUUGAACGCUGGCGGCAGGCCUAACACAUGCAAGUCGAGCGAGCGGCGGACGGGUGAGUAAUGUCUGGGAGACUGCCUGAUGGAGGGGGAUAACUACUGGAAACGGUAGCUAUUACCGCAUACCAUCAGAUGUGCCCCGAUGGGAUUAGCUCGUAGGUGGGGUAAUGGCUCACCUAGGCGACGAUCCCUAGCUGGUCUGUGAGGAUGACCAGCCACACUGGAACUGAGACACGGUCCAGACUCCUACGGGAGGCAGCAGUGGGGAAUAUUGCACAAUGGGCGCAAGCCUGAUGCAGCCAUGCCGCGUGUGUGAAGAAGGCCUUCGGGUUGUAAAGCACUUUCAGCGGGGAGGCGUUACCCGCAGAAGAAGCACCGGCUAACUCCGUGCCAGCAGCCGCGGUAAUAC